AUUGAACGCUGGCGGCAUGCUUUACACAUGCAAGUCGAACGGUAACAGGCCGCAAGGUGCUGACGAGUGGCGAACGGGUGAGUAAUGCAUCGGAACGUGACCAGUCGUGGGGGAUAACGCAGCGAAAGAUGCGCUAAUACCGCAUACGACCUCUGGAUGAAAGCGGGGGACUGAAAGGCCUCGCGCGAUUGGAGCGGCCGAUGUCAGAUUAGGUAGUUGGUGGGGUAAAGGUCCACCGAGUCAACGAUCUGUAGCUGGUAUGAGAGGAGGACCAGCCACACUGGGACGGAGACACGGCCCAGACUCCUACGGGAGGCAGCAGUGGGGAAUUUUGGACAAUGGGCGCAAGCCUGAUCCAGCAAUGCCGCGUGCAGGAAGGAGGCCUUCGGGGUGUAAACUGCUUUUGUACGGAACGAAACGGUCCGGGUUAAUACCCUGGGCUAAUGACGGUACCGGAAUAAGAAGCACCGGCUAACUACGUGCCAGCAGCCGCAGUAACAC
rnacentral:rRNA from 1 species